rnacentral:rRNA from 1 species
AACGCGAAGAACCUUACCAGCCUUUGACAUCCCGGUCGCGGGCACCAGAGAUGGAGCCCUUCAGUUCGGCUGGACCGGAGACAGGUGCUGCAUGGCUGUCGUCAGCUCGUGUCGUGAGAUGUUGGGUUAAGUCCCGCAACGAGCGCAACCCUCGCCCUUAGUUGCCAUCAUUUAGUUGGGCACUCUAAGGGGACUGCCGGUGAUAAGCCGCGAGGAAGGUGGGGAUGACGUCAAGUCCUCAUGGCCCUUACAGGCUGGGCUACACACGUGCUACAAUGGCGGUGACAAUGGGAUGCAAUGGGGAGACCCUGCGCAAAUCUCAAAAAGCCGUCUCAGUUCGGAUUGUGCUCUGCAACUCGAGCACAUGAAGUUGGAAUCGCUAGUAAUCGCAGAUCAGCACGCUGCGGUGAAUACGUUCCCGGGCCUUGUACACACCGACAUA